GUACUGCCGAGGAGUCUUAUAAUAGGACGAAAUGGCCGUCCAGUGC
rfam:Schistosoma mansoni strain Puerto Rico chromosome W, complete genome